CUUUGUAGAUAUAGUGAAGUGCCUUUGCUUCUUGAUUCCAAUGGUAAUAGCUGUCAUGGUUGGUACAUUCCUUUACAAUCACAUAAAGGCAGUAAGAAAAGAUAUACCUUAACAAGAGCCUACCUUCCUUAUAAUAACGGGAUACUGACAUAGUGCAGAGUUUAAUGGAACUACAAUAUUUGCGAUGGUGUUUUAUAGUGUGUAUUGUUCUAGUGUGUACAACGUUAUUAUUUAUUUUAUAAAUAAGUAAAGAACCUUCA